AGAGUUUGAUCCUGGCUCAGGAUGAACGCUAGCGGCAGGCCUAACACAUGCUAGUCGAACGGUAACAGGUCCUUCGGGAUGCUGACGAGUGGCGCACGGGUGCGUAACGCGUAUGCAAUCUACCUCUAACUGGGAAAUAGCCCGGGGAAACUCGGAUUAAUGUCCCAUAAUAUCAUAGUAUCGCCUGAUACAUUGAUUAAAGCUUUGGCGGUUAGAGAUGAGCAUGCGUCCUAUUAGCUAGUUGGUGAGGUAACGGCUCACCAAGGCUACGAUAGGUAGGGGUUCUGAGAGGAUGAUCCCCCACACUGGUACUGAGACACGGACCAGACUCCUACGGGAGGCAGCAGUGAGGAAUAUUGGGCAAUGGACGCAAGUCUGACCCAGCCAUGCCGCGUGCAGGAUGACGGCCCUAUGGGUUGUAAACUGCUUUUAUAUGGAAAGAAACCCCUCUACGUGUAGAGGGCUGACGGUACCAUAUGAAUAAGCAUCGGCUAACUCCGUGCCAGCAGCCGCGGUAAUACGGAGGAUGCAAGCGUUAUCCGGAUUUAUUGGGUUUAAAGGCUCCGUAGGCGGGUCUUUAAGUCAGUGGUGAAAGCCUACAGCUCAACUGUAGAACUGCCAUUGAUACUGGAGAUCUUGAGUAUAAUUGAAGUGGGCGGAAUACGUCAUGUAGCGGUGAAAUGCAUAGAUAUGACGUAGAACACCGAUUGCGAAGGCAGCUCACUAAGUUAUAACUGACGCUGAGGGACGAAAGCGUGGGGAGCAAACAGGAUUAGAUACCCUGGUAGUCCACGCUGUAAACGAUGAUAACUCGCUGUUGGCGAUACACAGUCAGCGGCUAAGCGAAAGCGUUAAGUUAUCCACCUGGGGAGUACGUUCGCAAGAAUGAAACUCAAAGGAAUUGACGGGGGCCCGCACAAGCGGUGGAGCAUGUGGUUUAAUUCGAUGAUACGCGAGGAACCUUACCAGGGCUUAAAUGCAGAGCGACCGGUGCCGAAAGGUGCUUUCCCUUCGGGGCGGUUUGCAAGGUGCUGCAUGGUUGUCGUCAGCUCGUGCCGUGAGGUGUUAGGUUAAGUCCUGCAACGAGCGCAACCCCUAUCUUUAGUUGCCAGCGAGUAAUGUCGGGGACUCUAAAGAGACUGCCAGCGCAAGCUGUGAGGAAGGUGGGGAUGACGUCAAAUCAUCACGGCCCUUACGUCCUGGGCUACACACGUGCUACAAUGGUAGAGACAGAGGGCAGCCACCACGUGAGUGGGAGCGAAUCCUAAAACUCUAUCUCAGUUCGGAUCGAAGUCUGCAACUCGACUUCGUGAAGCUGGAAUCGCUAGUAAUCGCGCAUCAGCCAUGGCGCGGUGAAUACGUUCCCGGGCCUUGUACACACCGCCCGUCAAGCCAUGGGAGUUGGGAGUGCCUGAAGUCGGUAACCGCAAGGAGCUGCCUAGGGUAAGACCAAUGACUGGGGCUAAGUCGUAACAAGGUA
rnacentral:rRNA from 1 species